CCUACGGGAGGCAGCAGUAGGGAAUAUUGCUCAAUGGGGGAAACCCUGAAGCAGCAAAGCCGCGUGGAGGAUGAAGGUUUUCGGAUUGUAAACUCCUUUUGUUAGAGAAGAAAAUGACGGUAUCUAACGAAUAACCACCGGCUCACUCAGUGACAGUAGCCGCUGUAAUACGGAGGGUGCAAGCGUUACUCGGAAUCACUGGGCGUAAAGCGCGCGUAGGCGGGAUAGCAAGUCAGAUGUGAAAUCCUAUGGCUUAACCAUAGAACUGCAUUUGAAACUGUUAUUCUAGAGUAUGGGAGGGGUAGGCGGAAUUCUUGGUGUAGGGGUAAAAUGCGUAGAGAUCAAGAGGAAUACUCAUUGCGAAGGCGACCUGCUAGAACAUAACUGACGCUGAUGCGCGAAAGCGUGGGGAGCAAACAGGAUUAGAUACCCGGGUAGUC
rnacentral:rRNA from 1 species